UCCGGCGCGCGGCGGUUGAAUUGCUGCGCCCAGCGAGGCAACCGCCUCCGAACGCCAGGUGGGGGCGAGGCGUCUCGGAGUCUCAGAGACACCAAGGCCCCUGCGACAAGGUGGCUGCAGCUAGGCCGGGGGCGUCAGGACGACGGAGCGGGUUCGGGUCGGUGACACGCAGACCUGAGGGAGCUGGGCCCGCCUUUUCCGCCCGCGCCCCAGGCCCUUGCAGAUCGAGAUUUGCGUCCUAGAGUGGGAAAAAAGCAGAGGCCAGGGCGCCGUGGUGUGUGGUUGACUCUGUUUCUCGCCAUGUCUUCUCACAAGACUUUCACCAUUAAGCGAUUCCUGGCCAAGAAACAAAAGCAAAAUCGUCCCAUCCCCCAGUGGAUUCAGAUGAAACCUGGUAGUAAAAUCAGGUACAACUCCAAAAGGAGGCAUUGGAGAAGAACCAAGCUGGGUCUAUAAGGAAUUGCACAUGAGAUGGCACACAUAUUUAUGCUGUAUCAAGUUCACGAUCAUCUUACGAUAUCAAGCUGAAAAUGUCACCACUACCUGGACAGUUGCACAUGUUUUACUGGGAAUAUUUUUUUCUGUUUUUCUGUAUGCUCUGUGCUAGUAGGGUGGAUUCAGUAAUAAAUAUGUGAAAGCUUUUGUUUCAAAAA
rnacentral:lncRNA from 1 species